GUGCCAGCAGCCGCGGUAACACGUAGGGGGCGAGCGUUGUCCGGAUUCAUUGGGCGUAAAGGGCGCGCAGGCGGCCCGGAAAGUCGGAUGUGAAAACUCGGGGCUCAACCCCGAGCGUGCACCCGAUACUGCCGGGCUUGAGGCAGGUAGGGGAGAUCGGAAUUCCUGGUGUAGCGGUGAAAUGCGCAGAUAUCAGGAGGAACACCGGUGGCGAAGGCGGAUCUCUGGGCCUGUCCUGACGCUGAGGCGCGAAAGCUAGGGGAGCGAACAGGAUUAGAAACCCCCGUAGUCC
rnacentral:rRNA from 1 species